UGGGUUUUAUCACAUCGGCAUAGGGAAGUGCAAUCGGCAACUGGCCGAAAGCUAACUGGCGAGCUAAUGCCGAUGGAUUGUAAAAUUCGUAAGUUUGGGGAGAAGUUUUCGUGCUACCGAAGAAAUUCACUGGAAUGGCUCUGGGAGUCACAAUUGCCAUCAUCGCCUCAUUGUCCCUGUCGAGAGCUUCAUCAAAUGGAUUGAAGGUCAGAGGGAGCAUGCUAUCUGGGUCAUCAUAAGCCAGCCAUGGUCGUUCAUCUCUGGCCAGACCCUCAUACAGAGUCUCGAAGAAUCGGCCGAUCUGAUCCGGAU
rnacentral:lncRNA from 1 species